CUGAUCUCCCCACUGAAGUGUUUGGGGAACUCCGGGUGUCAUUUGAUAAUAUUGUUAGGAAUGGUUUAGAGCUGGUUGAUGACCAUCUUAUAAUCAGCCCCCAACUUCAUGAACAUGUACAUGCAGUACUGCAUCUUGAUUCUUGCCAUGGAGAAUCCAUCAAUCGGUGCAAGAUUACAAAAGAUCAGCACAAAGAUAAUUCUGCACGGAGAAAAGUUCUAUUAGUUUCCAUGUUUAGUCUUCUCAUGUCCAGUUGUAUGGAUUUAAUUCGCUAGCAGUAAAUAUUAGUCAAUUGUUGUGUAAAUAAACCAUUCUUUAACAUGAAUAU